UAUCAUUGCUAAUUAGAUAUUGUACUCUUUGUUAGUAAGUUUAUUGUUUCUUCGCCAUUAUGAACGCAAAUAGCGUUCAGCAUCAUCGAUCUUUCACGUGACGUCUGGCCUGGAUUUAAAAUUUUUACCGGUAUUUCCGAGUGCACGGCGGCACGGAUUCAUUCGUUCGUACACUCAAGACUGGUUGCUCCUUUGUUUCUAAAACUAGUUUCUUGCGCUUCUAUGUAACUUGGGGUGAAGUUACGUGUUUGCAAGCGGACAAGUAAGCCCUGCAGUUGGGUUUCGGUCGUGAGCCAUUCGGAACAGGUCUGCAUCGAAACGGGAGCUGGAUUUUGCUGCGGCUGACAACGGCAAUAACGACAUGCAGUAAUGAGGACGGCACCAGUAUAAAGCAACACACUCCACGCACUAAACAGAAGCUGCUGCCUGCUACGACAAGGUCAUUGUGUGGACAUUGGCUACUACUACAAGAGUCUAAGCCAAGCACAUCUUGGUCAUCACAGGAGCUCCUAUCUGCACCAACAGGAAGGGGCUGGAGCCGAAUUUGCAAGGCUUUUACACCAAGAACAAAGAAGCACAUGCACAAGAAUAUGGAUGAGAUAUCAAGUCUGCAAAGGACUGUGUUAAGACUGCAAAGAGCUUCAGCCAC